CGGGGCAUCGUAUAGAGGUAGUACGCAUGGCUGGGGGUCAUGUAGCGGGUGUUCGAUUCACCCUGCCCCGA
rfam:Candidatus Staskawiczbacteria bacterium RIFCSPHIGHO2_01_FTLL_41_41 rifcsphigho2_01_scaffold_7282, whole genome shotgun sequence.